AUGUACCACUCGUACACUCCGGUUCCUGCGCGCCGUCCGCACCCACCUGACGACUGCUCGCUACGUUUUGUUAGCC
rnacentral:sRNA from 1 species